UAGUAAUUGUGGAUCGUUAUUGGUGGGUGGGAAAAUCGAUUUGUUAAACCCGACUGGAAGAAGGAUGAGAACAUGGCGGAGGACUGGAACUGUACUUCCCGUAAUUGGAAUGGUGAUGCUAAUGACAAAGACGACCAGCGAGGACUACAGGUUUUUUGCUAUCUCAACUGCAUUCUCUGAGUUCAGUAACAAAGGAAACAAUACCAAUUUAACAUUAACCACAAGCAAAAGCUUGAUUGUGGUGGUGGCUACAUGAAGUUACUGCAUUAUUAUGUUGACCAAAAGAAGUUUAGUGGUGACAGUCCCUACAGGUUUUGGUUGUAACAACUAACAACCCACAAAGGAGUGCCCAAGGAAUUUCACGGAGCAAAACAAAUUGAAUUAAAAACUUCCUCUGCCCAUGGAAGAAUAAGGUUCCCCCUUCGCUAGGUUGUUGUCCCAGAAUUAUAUAAGAGUUUGCCAACUUCAAGCUUGACGUUAUACAUGCAUCUUCACCUAGAAUUAUGGUAACUUUACCUUGACUGUUCCACAUCUUCUAAUAUAAUAUAAGUCAAUCUUUGGUUUCUUGUUGGCUACCGAUUUUGUUGUGACCAACUUUGAUAUUGAAGUCCCAAACACUGAAUCGACUGAUGGCCUUGGUUCUGGAGCUGAAAUUGUGUGGAACUGGAACCAGUAAAACCAGUUUUAGUGUUCUGGGAAAACAGGUAUGGGCCAAGCCAUGCAUUAGUAGGUGGGUUCAGCUCUAAAUCUUGCUCUAGCAUUGGAACACAUAUGGGAUCAGCUAAAACAUUUAGUACUGGUGAGAUUUUAAAAGCUGCCAAUAACUUUGAUGAAUCAAAAAACUGGGAGGAAAUGGUAUUCUUGAUGACGAGAUGAAUAGUGUUCUUAAAAGGAACACAUUCAUAAUGGCAGCUUGGAUCUCAUUUACAUGACGUGGAAAAGAAAUUUAUGCCACUUGGUUGGAGUUCGCGGUUGAAGAUUGCACUUCGUUCUGCUUGUGGUUAAUCUUAUUUACAAAAAGACUACUUGCGUGUCAUCUAAUUUUGAUUUGGCUAGAACAACCCUGGAUGAUGGAAACAAGCACUCAUAUCUUGGGAACUUUUGGCCCCAGAGUAUGCAAUGACCAUGCAUCUUCUUGUCAUGAGUGGUGCUUAAAGUAUGGUAUAUUUCUUCUCGAGCUUGUGACAGGAAGGGAAGCUGUAGACAUGUCAGGACCACAAGGUCAAGAGAGUUUGGUCACCUGGGCUAGUCCACUUGUCAGUAAGGAAGUUUAGGAAUGAUUGUCGAUCCAUCUAUUGGGUCUAUUUCAUUAGACAGUGUGGCCAAAAUAGCAGCCAUAGCUUCGAUAUGUAUACAGCCAGAAGUACCUGACUGUCCUUUUAUGGGUGAGGUUGUCCAAGCCUUAAAAGUUAGUGAUAAUGUAGUAAUAUCUGAAAGUUGUAGCCAAGAGGCUUUAACUCUUUUAGGAAUUGAUACUAGAACUAGUACUGGUUUCCAGAACAUUAUUCACGAGCUGAUUAUCGAAUGAUUCAUUAUGAUUUUGAUUCUAUUAAAAAAAUGACAAGGCCGUUAUCCGUAUUAGAAGCGUUCAGUAGUUCCCCCAGGUUUUGACAAGAGUUCGUUAAAGUCUUUUAGAAGGCAUUCUAGUUAAGGCCUGUUAAGAACUGGGAAAAGCUGACACUUCUGGGGUAGGCUGCCAAGAUACCUGCUGGAACCAUGAUUUUGCACUCAGACCAUGGGCCUUGCUGAAGUUUCUGUGUGCUGUUUAAGAACAGCAAUGCUUAAUGUCAAGAACACUUGCGUAUAGGGAACGUCCAUGAGCAUUAUAUGACUAAUCCAGAUGGAUAUUUGUUAUUUAAUACAAGAAAAUAAAAAUUCAGCCCUUCAAACUUCAAGAACUGGUUGCAGAAGUUAACCUUUGGAGAAUGGAUUCAUUAUUCUGGUGGCCCGUGAAGGAUUUUAAGAUUGAGAUAUUGAUUUUUCUUUUU